rnacentral:rRNA from 1 species
GACGAACGCUGGCGGCGUGCUUAACACAUGCAAGUCGAACGGAAAGGCCCUGCUUUUGUGGGGUGCUCGAGUGACGAACGGGUGAGUAACACGUGAGUAACCUGCCCUUGACUUUGGGAUAACUUCAGGAAACUGGGGCUAAUACCGGAUAGGAGCUCCUGCUGCAUGGUGGGGGUUGGAAAGUUUCGGCGGUUGUGGAUGGACUCGCGGCUUAUCAGCUUGUUGGUGGGGUAGUGGCUUACCAAGGCUUUGACGGGUAGCCGGCCUGGGAGGGUGACCGGCCACAUUGGGACUGAGAUACGGCCCAGACUCCUACGGGAGGCAGCAGUGGGGAAUAUUGCACAAUGGGCGGAAGCCUGAUGCAGCAACGCCGCGUGCGGGAUGACGGCCUUCGGGUUGUAAACCGCUUUCGCCUGUGACGAAGCGUGAGUGACGGUAAUGGGUAAAGAAGCACCGGCUAACUACGUG